UGGGGAAUAUUGCACAAUGGGGGAAACCCUGAUGCAGCGACGCCGCGUGAGCGAAGAAGGUUUUCGAAUCGUAAAGCUCUGUCCUAUGGGAAGAUAAUGACGGUACCAUAGGAGGAAGCCCCGGCUAACUACGUGCCAGCAGCCGCGGUAAUACGUAGGGGGCUAGCGUUGUCCGGAAUCACUGGGCGUAAAGGGUUCGCAGGCGGAAAUGCAAGUCAGGUGUAAAAGGCAGUAGCUUAACUACUGUAAGCAUUUGAAACUGCAUAUCUUGAGAAGAGUAGAGGUAAGUGGAAUUUUUAGUGUAGCGGUGAAAUGCGUAGAUAUUAAAAAGAAUACCGGUGGCGAAGGCGACUUACUGGGCUCAUUCUGACGCUGAGGAACGAAAGCGUGGGUAGCAAACAGG
rnacentral:rRNA from 2 species